rnacentral:tRNA from 1 species
GCCUUCGUGAUGUAAUGGCAGCAGAUUCGGCUCGUAUCCGAGAGGUCCGAGGUUCGAGUUCCGGCGAGGGCA